UAAAGUUGCAGUUAAGGUGUCUGUUUGACGUCGAUGCAAUUAGGGUUAAGACCUAAAGGCCUGCCAGAACCCUCUCUUCGUGAUUGAGGUGUGUUACUGAGAGAAGAGGAUAAUGAGAAUCUAGUGAUUUUAUCUCCACCCCAGCUGGACCGGUGGGACCUCAUGACCUACAUUCAUUUUCAGCUGUCAACCCAACAAUAUCACCUCCUCUGCCAGUUCUCC
rnacentral:lncRNA from 1 species